rnacentral:rRNA from 1 species
AGUGAACGCUGGCGGCGUGCCUAAUACAUGCAAGUCGAACGGAGCGGCGCACGGGUGAGUAAUGUAUAGCUAAUCUGCCCUACACUAGAGGACAACAGCUGGAAAAGACUGCUAAUACUCUAUAGUGUAGGAGGAGGCUAUAUUGGAUCAGCUAGCUGGUGAGGUAAUGGCUCACCAAGGGUAUGACGCAUAACUGUUCUGAGAGGAUGAGCAGUCACACUGGAAGUGAGACACGGGCCAGACUCCUACGGGAGGGAGCAGUAGGGAAUAUUGCUCAAUGGGGGAAACCCUGAAGCAGCAACGCGGCGUGGAGGAUGGCACUUUUCGGAGCGUAAACUCCUUUUGUUAGGGAAACGGUACCUAACGAAUAAGCACCGGCUAACUCCGUGCCAGCAGCCGCGGUAAUAC